rnacentral:rRNA from 1 species
UACGUAGGGUGCAAGCGUUAAUCGGAAUUACUGGGCGUAAAGCGUGCGCAGGCGGUUGUGCAAGACAGAUGUGAAAUCCCCGGGCUUAACCUGGGAACUGCAUUUGUGACUGCACGGCUAGAGUGUGUCAGAGGGGGGUAGAAUUCCACGUGUAGCAGUGAAAUGCGUAGAGAUGUGGAGGAACACCGAUGGCGAAGGCAGCCUUCUGGGCCAACACUGACGCUCAUGCACGAAAGCGUGGGGAGCAAACAGG